rnacentral:rRNA from 1 species
UACGUAGGGGGCUAGCGUUGUCCGGAAUCAUUGGGCGUAAAGAGCGUGUAGGCGGCCCGGUAAGUCCGCUGUGAAAGUCAAAGGCUCAACCUUUGAAUGUCAGUGGAUACUGCCGGGCUAGAGUCCGGAAGAGGCGAGUGGAACUCCUGGUGUAGCGGUGAAAUGCGUAGAUAUCGAGAGGAACACCUGCGGCGAAGGCGGGUAGCUGGGCCGACACUGACGCUGAGGCGCGAAAGCCAGGGGAGCGAACGGG